rnacentral:rRNA from 1 species
CACGUAGGCGGACUUUUAAGUCAGGGGUGAAAUCCCGGGGCUCAACCCCGGAACUGCCUUUGAUACUGGAAGUCUUGAGUAUGGUAGAGGUGAGUGGAAUUCCGAGUGUAGAGGUGAAAUUCGUAGAUAUUCGGAGGAACACCAGUGGCGAAGGCGGCUCACUGGACCAUUACUGACGCUGAGGUGCGAAAGCGUGGGGAGGCAAAACA